rnacentral:rRNA from 1 species
UGGGGAAUUUUGGACAAUGGGCGAAAGCCGAUCCAGCAAUGCCGCGUGUGUGAAGAAGGCCUUCGGGUUGUAAAGCACUUUUGUCCGGAAAGAAAUCCUUGGCUCUAAUACAGUCGGGGGAUGACGGUACCGGAAGAAUAAGCACCGGCUAACUACGUGCCAGCAGCCGCGGUAAUACGUAGGGUGCAAGCGUUAAUCGGAAUUACUGGGCGUAAAGCGUGCGCAGGCGGUUUGCUAAGACCGAUGUGAAAUCCCCGGGCUCAACCUGGGAACUGCAUUGGUGACUGGCAGGCUAGAGUAUGGCAGAGGGGGGUAGAAUUCCACGUGUAGCAGUGAAAUGCGUAGAGAUGUGGAGGAAUACCGAUGGCGAAGGCAGCCCCCUGGGCCAAUACUGACGCUCAUGCACGAAAGCGUGGGGAGCAAACAGGAUUAGAUACCCUGGUAGUCCACGCCCUAAACGAUGUCAACUAGUUGUUGGGGAUUCAUUUCCUUAGUAACGUAGCUAACGCGUGAAGUUGACCGCCUGGGGAGUACGGUCGCAAGAUUAAAACUCAAAUGAAUUGACGGGGUCAUAGCUGUUUCCU